CCGACGAUAGCUCAGUUGGUAGAGCGGAGGAUUGUAGUGGCUGUGCAAUGAUACUUAGGUCGGUGAGUCGAAUCCACCUCGUCGGA
rnacentral:tRNA from 1 species